CCAAUGUAUGGGAUGUUCUACAUGACUCCCAAGUAAACACAUUCCUGUGUGUUAUUCUUUUUUUUUUAAGCUCUAUGUCAUUUUCUUGUCUGAGAAGGCCAUGGUGCCAUAACCCUGAAAAAUGUUA
rnacentral:misc_RNA from 1 species